rnacentral:rRNA from 1 species
GCAUAAUCAUUUGUCUACUAAUUAUAGACCUGUAUGAAAGGCAAAAUGAGGGUCCAACUGUCUCUUAUAAUAAAUCAAUUAAACUGAUCUUCUAGUAAAAAAGCUAGAAUAAUAACAUAAGACCAGAAGACCCUGUGAAGCUUAAAUAAAACUAUUAAACCACAUAAUAACUACUUUCGGUUGGGGCGACCUUGGAAAAAAAAAGAACUUCCAAGACCCAGCACAGCUGACAAUUGAACCAAGUUACUCCAGGGAUAACAGCGCAAUCUUCUUCAAGAGCCCAUAUCAAAAAGAAGGUUUACGACCUCGAUGUUGGAUCAGGACAUCCUAAUGGUGCAGCCGCUAUUAAGGGUUCGUUUGUUCAACGAUUAACAGUCCUACGUGAUCUGA